AAUUGACGGGGGCCCGCACAAGCGGUGGAGCCAKUGGUUAAUUUGAAAGCAACRSGAAGAACCUUACCAGRUCUUGACAUCCUCUGACAACUCUAGAGAUAGAAGCGUUCCCYUUCGRGGGACAGAGUGACAGGUGGUGCAUGGUUGUCGUCAGCUCSUGUCGUGAGAUGUUGGGUUAAGUCCCGCAACGAGCGCAACCCUUGAUCUUAGUUGCCAGCAUUUAGUUGGGCACUCUAAGGUGACUGCCGGUGACAAACCGGAGGAAGGUGGGGAUGACGUCAAAUCAUCMUGCCCCUUAUGACCUGGGCUACACACSUGCUACAAUGGAUGGUACAAAGGGCUGCAAGACCGCGAGGUCAAGCCAAUCCCAUAAAACCAUUCUCAGUUCGGAUUGUAGGCUGCAACUCGCCUWCAUGAAGCUGGAAUCGCUAGUAAUCGCGGAUCAGCAUGCCGCGGUGAAUACGUUCCCGGGCCUUGUACACWCCGCCCGUCACACCACGAGAGUUUGUAACACCCGAAGUCGGUGGAGUAACCGUAAGGAGCUAGCMSCCUAAGGKGACCGACAUGGGG
rnacentral:rRNA from 1 species